CUAAUACCGCGUACGCUCCUUGGACUUCGGUUCAGGGAGGAAAGCGAUACCGAGGGUAUCGCGCUCUCGGAUGGGCCCAUGUCCUAUCAGCUUGUUGGUGAGGUAACGGCUCACCAAGGCUUCGAUGGGUAGCUGGUCUGAGAGGACGAUCAGCCACACAGGCACUGCGACACGGGCCAGACUCCUACGGGAGGCAGCAGUAAGGAAUAUUGCGCAAUGGGCGAAAGCCUGACGCAGCGACGCCGCGUGGGGGAUGAAGGUCUUCGGAUUGUAAACCCCUUUCGGGAGGGAAGAUGGAAUGGGGUAACCCAUUCGGACGGUACCUCCAGAAGCAGCCACGGCUAACUUCGUGCCAGCAGCCGCGGUAAUACGAAGGUGGCAAGCGUUAUUCGGAUUUACUGGGCGUACAGGGAGCGUAGGCGGUUCGGUAAGCCCUCUGUGAAAUCUUCAGGCUUAACCUGGAAAAGUCGGGGGGGACUGCUGGGCUAGAGGACGGGAGAGGAGCGCGGAAUUCCCGGUGUAGCGGUGAAAUGCGUAGAGAUCGGGAGGAAGGCCGGUGGCGAAGGCGGCGCUCUGGAACGUUUCUGACGCUGAGGCUCGAAAGCGUGGGGAGCAAACAGGAUUAGAUACCCUGGUAGUCC
rnacentral:rRNA from 1 species